AUUGAACGCUGGCGGAAUGCUUUACACAUGCAAGUCGAACGGCAGCACGGGGGCAACCCUGGUGGCGAGUGGCGAACGGGUGAGUAAUACAUCGGAACGUGCCCGGUCGUGGGGGAUAACGUAGCGAAAGUUACGCUAAUACCGCAUACGAUCUGAGGAUGAAAGCGGGGGACCUUCGGGCCUCGCGCGAUCGGAGCGGCCGAUGUCAGAUUAGGUAGUUGGUGGGGUAAAGGCCUACCAAGCCGACGAUCUGUAGCUGGUCUGAGAGGACGGCCAGCCACACUGGGACUGAGACACGGCCCAGACUCCUACGGGAGGCAGCAGUGGGGAAUUUUGGACAAUGGGCGCAAGCCUGAUCCAGCCAUUCCGCGUGCAGGACGAAGGCCUUCGGGUUGUAAACUGCUUUUGUAUGGAACGAAAAGGCUCUGGCUAAUACCUGGGGCUCAUGACGGUACCGUAAGAAUAAGCACCGGCUAACUACGUG
rnacentral:rRNA from 1 species